UGUCAGCCGCCGCGGUAAUACGUAGGGUGCGAGCGUUAAUCGGAAUUACUGGGCGUAAAGCGUGCGCAGGCGGUUUUGUAAGUCAGAUGUGAAAUCCCCGGGCUUAACCUGGGAACUGCGUUUGAAACUACAAGGCUAGAGUGUGGCAGAGGGGGGUGGAAUUCCACGUGUAGCAGUGAAAUGCGUAGAGAUGUGGAGGAACACCGAUGGCGAAGGCAGCCCCCUGGGUUAACACUGACGCUCAGGCACGAAAGCGUGGGGAGCAAACAGGAUUAGAUACCCUGGUAGUCCACGCCCUAAACUAUGUCAACUAGUUGUCGGGCCUUAACGGGCUUGGUAACGAAGCUAACGCGUGAAGUUGACCGCCUGGGGAGUACGGUCGCAAGAUUAAAACUCAAAUGAAUUAGCGG
rnacentral:rRNA from 1 species